rnacentral:lncRNA from 12 species
UGUUUUGGCAGAAGCAAAACUUCAGCCUUCUUAAGGUAGAGAGGGUUUAGAAGAAAAGUGCACGUGCUAGGCGUGUUUUGGCAGUAGUAGAACUAGCCGCGGAGUGUUCUGUGAGAGCGGUAGACGACACUGCAGCUGAGUUACUGAGGAAUCGCCGCGUGAUACAAAACGCGAAGAAGGAAGAAGCACAGCACCAGAGUGCUCUGCACAGCUUACGGUUUUCAGUGUCUUCUAGUAAGAAGGAUGACCAUCGUCAGCUAGCUUUGUUACAACAUAUCUAUUCAAUAUGCCGCCUAAUAACGUACUUCCAUAUGCAGCCUUCUAUCUUACAUAACUUCAGUGUAGGGAACACAUUGGUAUGUGCAGUGGCAGGUGAGAACUACUGUGUGCUGUGCACGCUUUUACUUUCACUUUAGUUUACACUGCAGUGCUCUUCUCUAUGCAGAGUUGAAAGAGGGCAUGGUACACAUACAAGAAGCAGGGCAGUAUGGUAAGGUAGAGAGGGUUUAGAAGAAAAGUGCACGUGCUAGGCGUGUUUUGGCAGUAGUAGAACUAGCCGCGGAGUGUUCUGUGAGAGCGGUAGACGACACUUCACCUCAGUUACUGAGAAAUCGCCGCAUGAUAAAAGAGGCGAACAUGGAAGCAGCAGAGCACCAGAGUGCGAAGCGCAGCAUACCGGUUUUCAGUGUCUUCUGGAAAGAAGGAUGAUGAUCAACGUCAGCCGGCUUUCUUACAACAUUCCUAUUCAAUAUGCAGCCUAGUAACGCACAUAACUGAGAUGCAAAGGAGACAGUGUAAUGUGUAGUGGUAAGGGAGAACUACUGUGUGCUGUGCAUGUUUUCACUUUCACUUUAGGGGACACUGCAGUGUUCUUCGCUCUGCAGAGUUGAGAGAGUACGCUUUUACUUUCACUUUAUUUUACCCUGCAGUGCUCUUCUCUAUGCAGAGUUGAAAGAGUGCAGGGUACACAUACAAGAAGCAGGGCAAUAUGGUAUUUUAGAAAGGGUUUAGAAGAAAAGUGCAAGUGACUGGCGAUUUUUGGCAGAAGCACAAGCUAGCAGCGCAGUGUACCGUGUGAGGAGUAGAAGACACUUCUCCUCCCUAGAGAUAAACCGCCGCAUGAUACAAAAUGGCUAACAUGGAAGCAACAGAGUACCAGAGGAUACAAAACGCGAAGAAGGAAGCAGCACAGCAACAGAGUGCUCUGCACAGCACACCGGUUUUCAGUGUCUUCUAGUACGAAGGAUGAUCAUCGUCAGCUAGCUUUGUUACAACAUACCUAUUCCAUAUGCAGCCUUCUAACGUACAUAAUUUAAG